CAAUAGCGUAUGCUAAUGUUGUUGCAGUUAAAAGCUCGUAGUUGGAUUUUUAAGGGUGUCUGCUUCUAGUGUCCUACGUGACUCUAAAGUUGCAGACUCCCCUUAUUUUGCCUCAGUGCUCGGUUGGGAUUCAUUUCUCGAUCGGGCUUCAGGGGCGUGUUUACUUUGAGAAAAUUAGAGUGUUCAAAACAGUCUUGUGAUUGUAUAUCAUAGCAUGGAAUAAUAACUGAUGACGUCGGUCAUUUUUUGUUGGUUCGGAUGGCUGAAGUAAUGAUUGAUAGAGUUAGUCGGAGGUAUUAGUAUUUUAUCGUUAGAGGUGAAAUUCAUGGAUCGGUAAAAGACUAACAACUGCGAAAGCAUUUAUCUAGGAUUUGCUCUUUGAUCAAGAACGAAAGUUGGGGGAUCGAAGAUGAUUAGAUACCAU
rnacentral:rRNA from 1 species